AACGUAGGUUCCGAGCGUUAUCCGGAUUUACUGGGCGUAAAGCGCGUUCAGGCGGUUUGGCAAGUCGGGCAUGAAAUCCUUCGGCUCAACCGGGGGAGGUUGUCCGAUACUGCUGAACUGGAGGGCAGUAGAGGGUGGUGGAAUUCCGGGUGUAGUGGUGAAAUGCGUAGAGAUCCGGAGGAACACCGACGGCGCAGGCAGCGUCCUGGCCGCUUGCUGACACUGAGGCACGAAAGCUGGGGGAGCAAACAGG
rnacentral:rRNA from 1 species